rnacentral:rRNA from 1 species
GGUCAAGUGAAGAAGCGCAUACGGUGGAUGCCUUGGCAGUCAGAGGCGAUGAAAGACGUGGUAGCCUGCGAAAAGCUUCGGGGAGUCGGCAAACAGACUUUGAUCCGGAGAUCUCUGAAUGGGGGAACCCACCUAGGAUAACCUAGGUAUCUUGUACUGAAUCCAUAGGUGCAAGAGGCGAACCAGGGGAACUGAAACAUCUAAGUACCCUGAGGAAAAGAAAUCAACCGAGAUUCCCUUAGUAGUGGCGAGCGAACGGGGAUUAGCCCUUAAGCUUCAUUGAUUUUAGCGGAACGCUCUGGAAAGUGCGGCCAUAGUGGGUGAUAGCCCCGUACGCGAAAGGAUCUUUGAAGUGAAAUCGAGUAGGACGGAGCACGAGAAACUUUGUCUGAACAUGGGGGGACCAUCCUCCAAGGCUAAAUACUACUGACUGACCGAUAGUGAACCAGUACCGUGAGGGAAAGGCGAAAAGAACCCCGGAGAGGGGAGUGAAAUAGAACCUGAAACCGUAUGCGUACAAGCAGUGGGAGCCUACUUGUUAGGUGACUGCGUACCUUUUGUAUAAUGGGUCAGCGACUUAUAUUCAGUGGCAAGCUUAACCGUAUAGGGUAGGCGUAGCGAAAGCGAGUCUUAAUAGGGCGUUUAGUCGCUGGGUAUAGACCCGAAACCGGGCGAUCUAUCCAUGAGCAGGUUGAAGGUUAGGUAACACUGACUGGAGGACCGAACCCACUCCCGUUGAAAAGGUAGGGGAUGACUUGUGGAUCGGAGUGAAAGGCUAAUCAAGCUCGGAGAUAGCUGGUUCUCCUCGAAAGCUAUUUAGGUAGCGCCUCAUGUAUCACUCUGGGGGGUAGAGCACUGUUUCGGCUAGGGGGUCAUCCCGACUUACCAAACCGAUGCAAACUCCGAAUACCCAGAAGUGCCGAGCAUGGGAGACACACGGCGGGUGCUAACGUCCGUCGUGAAAAGGGAAACAACCCAGACCGCCAGCUAAGGUCCCAAAGUUGUGGUUAAGUGGUAAACGAUGUGGGAAGGCUUAGACAGCUAGGAGGUUGGCUUAGAAGCAGCCAUCCUUUAAAGAAAGCGUAAUAGCUCACUAGUCGAGUCGGCCUGCGCGGAAGAUGUAACGGGGCUCAAACCACACACCGAAGCUGCGGGUGUCACGUAAGUGACGCGGUAGAGGAGCGUUCUGUAAGCCUGUGAAGGUGAGUUGAGAAGCUUGCUGGAGGUAUCAGAAGUGCGAAUGCUGACAUGAGUAACGACAAUGGGUGUGAAAAACACCCACGCCGAAAGACCAAGGGUUCCUGCGCAACGUUAAUCGACGCAGGGUUAGUCGGUUCCUAAGGCGAGGCUGAAAAGCGUAGUCGAUGGGAAACAGGUUAAUAUUCCUGUACUUCUGGUUACUGCGAUGGAGGGACGGAGAAGGCUAGGCCAGCUUGGCGUUGGUUGUCCAAGUUUAAGGUGGUAGGCUGAAAUCUUAGGUAAAUCCGGGGUUUCAAGGCCGAGAGCUGAUGACGAGUCGUCUUUUAGAUGACGAAGUGGUUGAUGCCAUGCUUCCAAGAAAAGCUUCUAAGCUUCAGGUAACCAGGAACCGUACCCCAAACCGACACAGGUGGUCGGGUAGAGAAUACCAAGGCGCUUGAGAGAACUCGGGUGAAGGAACUAGGCAAAAUGGCACCGUAACUUCGGGAGAAGGUGCGCCGGCUAGGGUGAAGGAUUUACUCCGUAAGCUCUGGCUGGUCGAAGAUACCAGGCCGCUGCGACUGUUUAUUAAAAACACAGCACUCUGCAAACACGAAAGUGGACGUAUAGGGUGUGACGCCUGCCCGGUGCCGGAAGGUUAAUUGAUGGGGUUAGCGCAAGCGAAGCUCUUGAUCGAAGCCCCGGUAAACGGCGGCCGUAACUAUAACGGUCCUAAGGUAGCGAAAUUCCUUGUCGGGUAAGUUCCGACCUGCACGAAUGGCGUAACGAUGGCGGCGCUGUCUCCACCCGAGACUCAGUGAAAUUGAAAUCGCUGUGAAGAUGCAGUGUAUCCGCGGCUAGACGGAAAGACCCCGUGAACCUUUACUGUAGCUUUGCACUGGACUUUGAGCCUGCUUGUGUAGGAUAGGUGGGAGGCUUUGAAGCGUGGACGCCAGUUCGCGUGGAGCCAUCCUUGAAAUACCACCCUGGCAUGCUUGAGGUUCUAACUCUGGUCCGUAAUCCGGAUCGAGGACAGUGUAUGGUGGGCAGUUUGACUGGGGCGGUCUCCUCCUAAAGAGUAACGGAGGAGUACGAAGGUGCGCUCAGACCGGUCGGAAAUCGGUCGCAGAGUAUAAAGGCAAAAGCGCGCUUGACUGCGAGACAGACACGUCGAGCAGGUACGAAAGUAGGUCUUAGUGAUCCGGUGGUUCUGUAUGGAAGGGCCAUCGCUCAACGGAUAAAAGGUACUCCGGGGAUAACAGGCUGAUACCGCCCAAGAGUUCAUAUCGACGGCGGUGUUUGGCACCUCGAUGUCGGCUCAUCACAUCCUGGGGCUGAAGCCGGUCCCAAGGGUAUGGCUGUUCGCCAUUUAAAGUGGUACGCGAGCUGGGUUUAGAACGUCGUGAGACAGUUCGGUCCCUAUCUGCCGUGGACGUUUGAGAUUUGAGAGGGGCUGCUCCUAGUACGAGAGGACCGGAGUGGACGAACCUCUGGUGUUCCGGUUGUCACGCCAGUGGCAUUGCCGGGUAGCUAUGUUCGGAAAAGAUAACCGCUGAAAGCAUCUAAGCGGGAAACUUGCCUCAAGAUGAGA